CAAUAGCGUAUAUUAAAGUUGUUGCGGUUAAAAAGCUCGUAGUUGGAUUUCUGCUGAGAACGACCGGUCCGCCCUCUGGGUGUGUAUCUGGCUCUUUCUUGGCAUCUUCUUGGUGAACGUUGCUGCACUUGACUGUGUGGAGCGCUACCCAGGACUUUUACUUUGAGGAAAUUAGAGUGUUUCAAGCAGGCAUACGCCUUGAAUACAUUAGCAUGGAAUAAUAAGAUAGGACCUCGGUUCUAUUUUGUUGGUUUCUAGAGCUGAGGUAAUGAUUAAUAGGGAUAGUUGGGGGCAUUCGUAUUUAACUGUCAGAGGUGAAAUUCUUGUAUUUGUUAAAGACGGACUACUGCGAAAGCAUUUGCCAAGGAUGUUUUCAUUGA
rnacentral:rRNA from 1 species